rnacentral:rRNA from 2 species
GACGAACGCUGGCGGCGUGCUUAACACAUGCAAGUCGAGCGGUAAGGCCCUUCGGGGUACACGAGCGGCGAACGGGUGAGUAACACGUGGGUGAUCUGCCCUGUACUUCGGGAUAAGCCUGGGAAACUGGGUCUAAUACCGGAUAUGACCUUCGGUUGCAUGACCGUGGGUGGAAAGAUUUAUCGGUACAGGAUGGGCCCGCGGCCUAUCAGCUUGUUGGUGGGGUAAUGGCCUACCAAGGCGACGACGGGUAGCCGGCCUGAGAGGGCGACCGGCCACACUGGGACUGAGACACGGCCCAGACUCCUACGGGAGGCAGCAGUGGGGAAUAUUGCACAAUGGGCGAAAGCCUGAUGCAGCGACGCCGCGUGAGGGAUGACGGCCUUCGGGUUGUAAACCUCUUUCGACAGGGACGAAGCGCAAGUGACGGUACCUGUAGAAGAAGCACCGGCCAACUACGUG